AAAUUAAAAAAAGGAAAAAAAAAAACCAAACUUGAAGAGCCGGUUUGUCCCAAUGAACUUGAUGAUACCGUCUGUUUGUGACAUGGUAGAACAUAAUUAGGCGAAAAAAUAUGUAAUUUUGAGGGUGGAAAUUUUUUUCCUCGGGCUGAAAUUUUUUUCAUUUCAUCGCUUCUUUCUUCUCUUCUCGUCAUCUUCUCCGACGAUUUUCAAUCAGUCAAAGCAUCCGUAAAAUUCACCGGUGGAGUUGUAAUCCGAGCAUCGAGUAUCCUUUCCCAUCAUCAAGUUUAAAACAGAGUAGCUUCUCGUUCUGCCCUCCAUGGCUCCAUGGUUGAUGCUUGUAGAGAAAAGCAUCUUUCACGAAGAGCUAAUGCGGCUAAAAGUGCCGUCUCCGAGUUGGUUCUUGUCGCCAAAGCGUGCGGGAAGGAUGCAGAAGAGGAACUGCCUGUUUCUGCUGGUCUUGGACCAAGAAGAAGUAAGGCUGAGAUAGAAGAAACUGAGAAACGAUCAUCGUUGAGGUGGAAAGAUUCUGAUGAAAAUUUAAGGCUGAGAUAGAAUAAGAAGUAAGUUUAUGGCUCUCUAUAAUCCAAACUUGUUUGAUCUGAUCACGAAGAGAACUGAUCACGAAGAGAUACAACAUGAAAUACUUGUGCAAACUAUAGAUUCUUCUUCGGUGAAAGUGUGAAACAUUAUAGCUUUAAUGGAAGAGGUAGUUUCACUUGUGUCAUCUCUUAUUCUUAAUUAUUCAGUUUCUAGUCAAUAUGAUCCUUGUAUUGUAUCCUUUUCUUUAUGAUCAAUAAGGCUUUAUUUGCUCAAAUGAUUUGCUGAUUCCUUGGUCUUGCCAAUUCCUUGUACAACAUCAAGUAAAAGUUAAAAACUGUAAGCAAUAUAUGAUUCAUAUCUAUCAGUUUAUUAUUUGA